CCUCCCCAGCCUCGUAAGGAUCCUCAGACUCUAGGGCUUCAAGCACAAUGUCAGGAAUAGGUUCGGGGCAAAACUCAUCUGUGACAAAAUUGUCAAGAACCCUCUUGAUUAAUGGAGCUCCAAAUAUAGGGCAUACCUUCAAAAAAAUGAAAAAUACACUCAGUAAAUAAGGAUUGCAAAGUUCUAGUCCCCCCCUCAUAAAGGUUUUUUUUUUAUAUGUAUAUUUCAUUACUUGCAUUAUUUUUACAAUGGUAACCUCAUGAUAUUAGAUAUGAAUUCACAACAUCUAAGAACAAAUGAAAUAUUAAAAUAACUUUUC
rnacentral:misc_RNA from 1 species